rnacentral:rRNA from 1 species
UAGUGGCGAACGGGUGAGUAACACGUGAKAACCUGCCCUWAACUCUGGGAUAAGCCUGGGAAACUGGGUCUAAUACCGGAUAUGACUCCUCAUCGCAUGGUGGGGGGUGGAAAGCUUUAUUGUGGUUUUGGAUGGACUCGCGGCCUAUCAGCUUGUUGGUGAGGUAAUGGCUCACCAAGGCGACGACGGGUAGCCGGCCUGAGAGGGUGACCGGCCACACUGGGACUGAGACACGGCCCAGACUCCUACGGGAGGCAGCAGUGGGGAAUAUUGCACAAUGGGCGAAAGUGAUGCAGCGACGCCGCGUGAGGGAUGACGGCCUUCGGGUUGUAAACCUCUUUCAGUAGGGAAGAAGCGAAAGUGACGGUACCUGCAGAAGAAGCGCCGGCUAACUACGUGCCAGCAGCCGCGGUAAUACGUAGGGCGCAAGGUUAUCCGGAAUUAUUGGGCGUAAAGAGCUCGUAGGCGGUUUGUCGCGUCUGCCGUGAAAGUCCGGGGCUCAACUCCGGAUCUGCGGUGGGUACGGGCAGACUAGAGUGAUGUAGGGGAGACUGGAAUUCCUGGUGUAGCGGUGAAAUGCGCAGAUAUCAGGAGGAACACCGAUGGCGAAGGCAGGUCUCUGGGCAUUAACUGACGCUGAGGAGCGAAAGCAUGGGGAGCGAACAGGAUUAGAUACCCUGGUAGUCCAUGCCGUAAACGUUGGGCACUAGGUGUGGGGGACAUUCCACGUUUUCCGCGCCGUAGCUAACGCAUUAAGUGCCCGCCUGGGGAGUACGGCCGCAAGGCUAAAACUCAAAGGAAUUGACGGGGGCCGCACAAGCGGCGGAGCAUGCGGAUUAAUUCGAUGCAACGCGAAGAACCUUACCAAGGCUUGACAUGAACCGGAAAUACCUGGAAACAGGUGCCCCGCUUGCGGUCGGUUUACAGGUGGUGCAUGGUUGUCGUCAGCUCGUGUCGUGAGAUGUUGGGUUAAGUCCCGCAACGAGCGCAACCCUCGUUCUAUGUUGCCAGCGCGUUAUGGCGGGGACUCAUAGGAGACUGCCGGGGUCAACUCGGAGGAAGGUGGGGACGACGUCAAAUCAUCAUGCCCCUUAUGUCUUGGGUUCACGCAUGCUACAAUGGCCGGUACAAAGGGUUGCGAUACUGUGAGGUGGAGCUAAUCCCAAAAAGCCGGUCUCAGUUCGGAUUGGGGUCUGCAACUCGACCCCAUGAAGUCGGAGUCGCUAGUAAUCGCAGAUCACAACGCUGCGGUGAAUACGUUCCCGURCCUUGURCACACCGCCCGKCAAGUCACGAAAG